rnacentral:rRNA from 1 species
AGCAGGGAAGCAGGGGAUCGCAAGACCUUGCGCUGAUUGAGCGGCCGAUAUCAGAUUAGCUAGUUGGUGGGGUAAAAGCUCACCAAGGCGACGAUCUGUAGCGGGUCUGAGAGGAUGAUCCGCCACACUGGAACUGAGACACGGUCCAGACUCCUACGGGAGGCAGCAGUGGGGAAUUUUGGACAAUGGGGGCAACCCUGAUCCAGCCAUGCCGCGUGAGUGAAGAAGGCCUUCGGGUUGUAAAGCUCUUUCGGCCGGGAAAAAAUCGCAUGGGUUAAUACCCUGUGUGGAUGAUGGUACCGGAAUAAGAAGCACCGGCUAACUACGUGCCAGCAGCCGCGGUAAUACGUAGGGUGCGAGCGUUAAUCGGAAUUACUGGGCGUAAAGCGUGCGCAGGCGGUUUUGUAAGACAGGCGUGAAAUCCCCGGGCUCAACCUGGGAACUGCGCUUGUGACUGCAAGGCUAGAGUAUGGCAGAGGGGGGUGGAAUUCCACGUGUAGCAGUGAAAUGCGUAGGGAUGUGGAGGAACACCAAUGGCGAAGGCAGCCCCCUGGGCCAAUACUGACGCUCAUGCACGAAAGCGUGGGUAGCAAACAGGAUUAGAUACCCUGUAGUCCACGCCCUAAACGAUGUCAACUAGGUGUUGGGAGGGUAAAACCUUUUAGUACCGGAGCUAACGCGUGAAGUUGACCGCCUGGGGAGUACGGCCGCAAGGUUAAAACUCAAAGGAAUUGACGGGGACCCGCACAAGCGGUGGAUGAUGUGGAUUAAUUCGAUGCAACGCGAAAAACCUUACCUACCCUUGACAUGUCCAGGAGCCUGAAGAGAUUUGGGUGUGCCCGAAAGGGAACUGGAACACAGUGCUGCAUGGCUGUCGUCAGCUCGUGUCGUGAGAUGUUGGGUUAAGUCCCGCAACGAGCGCAACCCUUGUCGUUAAUUGCCAUCAUUCAGUUGGGCACUUUAACGAGACUGCCGGUGACAAACCGGAGGAAGGUGGGGAUGACGUCAAGUCCUCAUGGCCCUUAUGGGUAGGGCUUCACACGUCAUACAAUGGUCGGUACAAAGGGUUGCCAACCCGCGAGGGGGAGCCAAUCCCAGAAAGCCGAUCGUAGUCCGGAUUGCAGGCUGCAACUCGCCUGCAUGAAGUCGGAAUCGCUAGUAAUCGUGGAUCAGCAUGUCACGGUGAAUACGUUCCCGGGUCUUGUACACACCGCCCGUCACACCAUGGGAGCGGGUUCCGCCAGAAGUAGGUAGCCUAACCGCAAGGGGGGCGCUUACCACGGCGGGGUUCGUGACUGGGGUGAAGUCGUAACAAGGUA